rnacentral:rRNA from 1 species
UACGGGGGGGUGCGAGCGUUGUCCGGAAUCACUGGGCGUAAAGGGCGCGUAGGUGGUUUGAUAAGGGUGUGGUGAAAGUCCGGAGCUCAACUCCGGAUCUGCCGUGCCGACUGUCAAACUCGAGGGCUGUAGAGGCAGACGGAAUUCCGGGUGUAGCGGUGGAAUGCGUAGAGAUCCGGAGGAAGACCGGUGGCGAAGGCGGUCUGCUGGGCAGUUUCUGACACUGAGGCGCGACAGCGUGGGGAGCAAACAGGG